GACGAACGCUGGCGGUGUGCUUAACACAUGCAAGUCGAACGGAAAGGCCCUGCUUUUGUGGGGUGCUCGAGUGGCGAACGGGUGAGUAACACGUGAGUAACCUGCCCUUGACUUUGGGAUAACUUCAGGAAACUGGGGCUAAUACCGGAUAGGAGCUCCUGCUGCAUGGUGGGGGUUGGAAAGUUUCGGCGGUUGGGGAUGGACUCGCGGCUUAUCAGCUUGUUGGUGGGGUAGUGGCUUACCAAGGCUUUGACGGGUAGCCGGCCUGAGAGGGUGACCGGCCACCUUGGGACUGCGAUACGGCCCAGACUCCUACGGGAGGCAGCAGUGGGGAAUAUUGCACAAUGGGCGGAAGCCUGAUGCAGCAACGCCGCGUGCGGGAUGACGGCCUUCGGGUUGUAAACCGCUUUCGCCUGUGACGAAGCGUGAGUGACGGUAAUGGGUAAAGAAGCACCGGCUAACUACGUG
rnacentral:rRNA from 1 species